UGGGGAAUCUUGCACAAUGGGCGCAAGCCUGAUGCAGCCAUGCCGCGUGUAUGAAGAAGGCCUUCGGGUUGUAAAGUACUUUCAGCGGGGAGGAAGGGAGUAAAGUUAAUACCUUUGCUCAUUGACGUUACCCGCAGAAGAAGCACCGGCUAACUCCGUGCCAGCAGCCGCGGUAAUACGGAGGGUGCAAGCGUUAAUCGGAAUUACUGGGCGUAAAGCGCACGCAGGCGGUUUGUUAAGUCAGAUGUGAAAUCCCCGGGCUCAACCUGGGAACUGCAUCUGAUACUGGCAAGCUUGAGUCUCGUAGAGGGGGGUAGAAUUCCAGGUGUAGCGGUGAAAUGCGUAGAGAUCUGGAGGAAUACCGGUGGCGAAGGCAGCCCCCUGGACGAAGACAGACGCUCUGGUACGAAAGCGUGGGGAGCAAACAGG
rnacentral:rRNA from 1 species